UCUAUGCUUCCUUUUAGCAAU
rnacentral:piRNA from 1 species